rnacentral:rRNA from 1 species
UGAAUACGAGAUGCUACGGCGUCGAAGCAGUGUAUGUCAGACUUCCAAGAAAAGCUCGCAAUGUCAUAAAUAAAGAAUGCCUGUACCAUAACCGACACAGGUGGGUAGGUAGAGUAUACUAAGGGGCGCGAGAUAACUCUCUCUAAGGAACUCGGCAAAAUAACUCCGUAACUUCGGGAGAAGGAGUGCCUUCUUGAAGAAGGUUGCAAUAACAAGAUCCAAGCAACUGUUUAUCAAAAACACAGGUCUCCGCUAAGUCGAAAGACGAUGUAUGGGGGCUGACGCCUGCCCAGUGCCAGAAGGUUAAAGAAGCUGGUUAGCAAUAGCGAAGCUGGUGACUGAAGCCCUGGUGAACGGCGGCCGUAACAAUAACGGUCCUAAGGUAGCGAAAUUCCUUGUCGGGUAAGUUCCGACCCGCACGAAAGGCGUAAUGAUUUGGAUACUGUCUCGGAGAGGGACUCGGUGAAAUAGACUUGUCUGUGAAGAUGCGGACUACCUGCGCCAGGACAGAAAGACCCUAUGAAGCUUUACUGUAACUUGAAAUUGAAAUUGGACUUUAUUUGCGCAGUAUAGGUGAAGGCGUUGAGAUUACUCUUGCGGGAUUAGUGGAGCCAUCAGUGAGAUACCACUCCUAUAAUGUUAGAUUUCUAACUUUGGAUCAUAAUCUGGUCAAAGAACAGUUUCAGGCGGGCAGUUUGACUGGGGCGGUCGCCUCCCAAAUGGUAACGGAGGCGUACAAAGGUUUCCUCUGAACGGGUAGAAAUCGUAUCUAGAGUGUAAAGGCAUAAGGAAGCUUGACUGUGAGACCUACAAGUCGAGCAGGACGAAAGUCGGUCUUAGUGAUCUGACGGUGCUGAGUGGAAAGGCCGUCACUCAACGGAUAAAAGUUACUCUAGGAUAACAGGCUGAUCUCCCCCAAGAGUUCGCAUCGACGGGGAGGUUUGGCACCUCGAUGUCGGCUCAUCGCAUCCUGGGGCGGUAGUACGUCCCAAGGGUUGGGCUGUUCGCCCAUGAAAGCGGUACGCGAGCUGGGUUCAGAACGUCGUGAGACAGUUCGGUCCAUAUCCGGUGUAGGCGUUAGAAUAUUGAGAGGAGCCUUCUUUAGUACGAGAGGACCGAGAAGGACAUACCUCUGGUGUACCAGUUAUCGUGCCAACGGUAAACGCUGGGUAGCUAUGUAUGGAGAGGAUAACCGCUGAAAGCAUCUAAGUGGGAAGCCCACCUCAAGAUGAGUGCUCUCACAGGGUUAACCUGGUAAGGUCACGGGAAGACCACCCGUUAAUAGGCACUAGGUGGAAGUCCAGUAAUGGAUGGAGCCAAGGUGUACUAACAGACCGAGGGCUUGACC